GAACGCACCUUGCGCUCCUUGGUAUUCCGAGGAGCAUGCCUGUUUGAGUGUCAUUGUACUCUCACACUCCCACUCUUUUGGAUUGGGAGCGGUGGACUUGGGUGUUGCUGCUUUACGGUGGCUCACCUCAAAUGGAGUAGUGCAACUCUCGGUUGGACAUAGUACGGCGUGAUAAGUAUCUUCGCCGGCGCCUCACUCGAGGGUGGCCGAUCGGGAGCUCUGUGCUUCAAACUGUCUUCGGACAAUCUCUGACAACUUGACCUCAAAUCGAGUAGGACUACCCACUGAACUUAAG
rnacentral:misc_RNA from 1 species